CAGGCCCUUUUUGAGAAAUGGCAACUCUCUGUGUUGUGGCCUUACUCCUGUCAGCAGUGGCUGCUCAACCAGACCCCUGGCGGCCAUGGCAGCAGGGAAUCCCUCAGCCCCCCCCUUUUGGAGACAGAGGGAACCCUGGGCAUUUUGGUUCCUCUUGGCCAGGGAGAGACUCUGGCAGGCCAGGUGAAAUGCCACCCUGGUAUCCAAGAAGACCCUUUGGAAAUCCAGGACCCCAUGGACCGAUGGGAGAGGCUGAUGGGAUCAACCCCCAGCCCGGUGGGCCUCCUCCAAUUCCUGACCGGGGUGAUGGACAGACUCCUGCCCUUGGCUUCAUGCCUGAGGAACCUGGAGCCUUUCCUGGCCUGAAGCCCCCCCGUCGGCCCGGCGGGAGGUGGAGACCGAGAGGUGGGAGGCCCAACAUGAGAAAUCCCAACAGAAUGGUCAACAAGAAAUUUAUCCCCAUAUUCAAGGCUGACAAUGUGACAUUUGAGAACAUUACUGGCAUACCCUUGAAAGAGGGAGAGAAUAUAUUUCUGCUGCCAAGGGGUGGAAGAGGGCCACACCAUCCAAAGGAAGGACACACUGGACCUCAGAACAUGGCGUAUGGACUCCCAUCUUAUGGCCUUCAGCCAUAUUUGAAGCUCGUCUACAACCCCACAGCUACGAAUAAAGUCUCCUUUGAGUAUGGGAUUUUGCAGCUUCUUCCAGUUGGUUGAAGCUCAAUCACAUCUCCACAGACGGAAGUAAUUUGUCAUCUGAGAUGUAUGAAUGUCUUCUCAGGAAAAAGCGAGCAGCUCCAAGUCUGACACACCAAC